UUCAAUUAUCUUGGUCUAAGUACAGGCAUGGUUGGCAGUAGAUCAUCUUUAGAUCGUAUCAGAAGAACAUAUGAUACAACUGUCAUGAAAUGGAAGUCAACAGUCACAGACAGUCUGGUGUUUUUCGAUGCAUCAUCACAGUCAACUAUCCCAUAUGAAGAAUGUCCAAUUGGUGUCUAUUUUCCAUUAACAUGACAGUGGGAAAUUGCCAAGAACACGAAAAUGGCAAUGAUGAAUUGAUGGAAUAUUCAUUACCAGCAUCCCCAUUGCAAGGUUCACCCCCUUGCAUUGAUUCUCCAGAUGCUAGUGACGGAGGCAGUGACACACCGGUGAACAAGGAUUAUAAAGCCAUUGCCACAAGACAUUCUCAACAUUCCACUGACUUCAUACUUGCCCACCAAUAUGGAGGAAGUGGAUUUGAGAUCUGAAAUGACAACAAUGGUCAUACGGGUUCUUUGUGAGAACAUACGUAUGUUUCAUCAUUUAAGCAAAGAAAUAACAGCUCACAUCAAGCACAGAUAUUCAAAAGAGAGUUCAAAGAAAAGCAUUCUGACAUUAGCAACAUAAACAUCACUUCAUAGUUGUUGAAAUUGAUGAUUGUGAAAAUGAUAGCGCAUCAUUGUCACACGGUUAACAAGUGCAGCUCGUGUGAGUAAAUAUUUCUUAUCAAGCAUGUUUCCAUCACUUAAAUUAGAAUUGUUAUAAACUGGUUAUUCCUCUUUGAAAUACACAGCAUAUCAUAUCAUUUUAAAUCAUUGUUAUUUUAUCUAGAACUAAGUCAACAAAUGGUCAUCUCAUUAGAAUCCUAGAAAACGUUUUUGAAAAAUAGUUAUUCUGUCCCGCGUGUGUAUGGAGUGUCUAAAGUGUAUGUGUGUAUGUGUGUGUGUGUAUGUGUGUGUGUAUGUGUGUGUCUGUCUGUCUGUCUCUCUGUCUGUCUGUCUGUCUCUCUGUCUGUCUGUCUGCUUUCUUUAAAAUUUGAUAAUAUAUUUUGCUAUGUAGUUUUCUUUAAAAUUUGCGUUAAUCACAAGUGAUUACUUGAAGCAACACUAAAUUACUCUGUGUGUGUGUGUGUGGCUUUCCUCCUGUCUACUGCUAAGCUGACUAGUUUUCUGCAGGGUCUUUCUGUUUCAAGUAGAUUUUUGUUGUGUUGAAACGAGACAACACUUUCUUGAGAAGCAUUCUUAAAGCUAAUGCAUGGUGUGUUAAGCAAGUUUUAAUUCCAUCAAAAACACCCCUCAAAGUGCUUCC